GACGAACGCUGGCGGCGUGCUUAACACAUGCAAGUCGAACGAUGAAGCUGGAGCUUGCUCCGGUGGAUUAGUGGCGAACGGGCGAGUAACACGUGAGCAAUCUGCCCUUGACUCUGGGAUAACUGCGGGAAACUGUAGGUAAUACCGGAUACGACACCUUGGGGCAUCUCAGGGUGUGGAAAGAAUUUCGGUCAAGGAUGAGCUCGCGGCCUAUCGGCCAGUUGGUGAGGUAAUGGCUCACCAAGGCGACGACGGGUAGCCGGCCUGAGAGGGUGACCGGCCACACUGGAACUGAGACGCGGUCCAGACUCCUACGGGAGGCAGCAGUGGGGAAUAUUGCACAAUGGGCGAAAGCCUGAUGCUGCAACGCCGCGUGAGGGAUGAAGGCCUUCGGGUUGUAAACCUCUUUUAGCAGGGAAGAAGCGAAAGUGACGGUACCUGCAGAAAAAGCACCGGCUAACUACGUGCCAGCCGCCGCCGUAA
rnacentral:rRNA from 1 species